CAGUGGGGAAUUUUGGACAAUGGGGGCAACCCUGAUCCAGCCAUUCCGCGUGAGUGAAGAAGGCCUUCGGGUUGUAAAGCUCUUUCGGCAGGAACGAAACGGUGAGCUCUAACAUAGCUCGCUAAUGACGGUACCUGAAGAAGAAGCACCGGCUAACUACGUGCCAGCAGCCGCGGUAAUACGUAGGGUGCGAGCGUUAAUCGGAAUUACUGGGCGUAAAGCGUGCGCAGGCGGUUGUGUAAGACAGGUGUGAAAUCCCCGGGCUUAACCUGGGAACUGCGCUUGUGACUGCACGGCUAGAGUAUGGCAGAGGGGGGUGGAAUUCCACGUGUAGCAGUGAAAUGCGUAGAGAUGUGGAGGAACACCGAUGGCGAAGGCAGCCCCCUGGGCCAAUACUGACGCUCAUGCACGAAAGCGUGGGGAGCAAACAGGAUUAGAUACCC
rnacentral:rRNA from 1 species